rnacentral:rRNA from 1 species
UGCCAGCCGCCGCGGUAAUACUGAAGGUGCAAGCGUUAAUCGGAAUUACUGGGCGUAAGGCGCGCGUAGGUGGUUUGUUAAGUUGGAUGUAAAAGCCCUGGGCUCAACCUAGGAACUGCAUCCAAAACUAACUCACUAGAGUACGAUAGAGGGAGGUAGAAUUCAUAGUGUAGCGGUGGAAUGCGUAGAUAUCAGAAGGAAUACCAAUGGCGAAGGCAGCUCUCUGGCUCGUCACUGACGCUGAGGUGCGAAAGCGUGGGGAGCAAACAGGAUUAGAUA